ensembl:snRNA U6 U6 spliceosomal RNA
CUAGAAAUUCCAUUGCACAUAUACUAAAAUUGGAAAAAUUUAGAGAAGAUUAGCAUGGCUCCUGUGCAAGCCAGAGAUUAAUUUCUUUAGAUUAAACAUGACAUUUU